rnacentral:rRNA from 1 species
GAUGAACGCUGGCGGCGUGCUUAACACAUGCAAGUCGAACGGAAAGGCCCAAGCUUGCUUGGGUACUCGAGUGGCGAACGGGUGAGUAACACGUGGGUGAUCUGCCCUGCACUUCGGGAUAAGCCUGGGAAACUGGGUCUAAUACCGGAUAGGACGAUGGUUUGGAUGCCAUUGUGGAAAGUUUUUUCGGUGUGGGAUGAGCUCGCGGCCUAUCAGCUUGUUGGUGGGGUAAUGGCCUACCAAGGCGUCGACGGGUAGCCGGCCUGAGAGGGUGUACGGCCACAUUGGGACUGAGAUACGGCCCAGACUCCUACGGGAGGCAGCAGUGGGGAAUAUUGCACAAUGGGCGCAAGCCUGAUGCAGCGACGCCGCGUGGGGGAUGACGGCCUUCGGGUUGUAAACUCCUUUCGCUAGGGACGAAGCGUUUUUGUAACGGUACCUGGAGAAGAAGCACCGGCUAACUACGUG